UACGUAGGUGGCAAGCGUUGUCCGGAUUUAUUGGGUUUAAAGGGUGCGUAGGCGGCCCUGUAAGUCAGUGGUGAAAUACUCUAGCUUAACUAGAGGGGUGCCAAUGAUACUGCAGGGCUUGAGUACAGAUGAGGUAGGCGGAAUUGACGGUGUAGCGGUGAAAUGCAUAGAUAUCGUCAAGAACACCGAUAGCGAAGGCAGCUUACUGGGCUGUAACUGACGCUGAUGCACGAAAAGUGUGGGGAUCAAACAGG
rnacentral:rRNA from 1 species